UGGGGGAUAUUGCACAAUGGGCGAAAGCCUGAUGCAGCGACGCCGCGUGGGGGAUGAAGGCCUUCGGGUUGUAAACUUCUUUUGCUCUGAACAAGGCAUGCUAAUGGGUGUGUUGAGUGUAGGGGUUGAUUAGCGCCGGCUAACUACGUGCCAGCAGCCGCGGUAAUACGUAGGGCGCGAGCGUUGUCCGGAAUUAUUGGGCGUAAAGGGCUUGUAGGUGGCUGGUUGCGUCUGUCGUGAAAGCUCAUGGCUUAACUGUGGGUUUGCGGUGGGUACGGGCUGGCUUGAGUGCAGUAGGGGAGGCUGGAAUUCCUGGUGUAGCGCGGGAAUGCGCAGAUAUCAGGAGGAAUACCGGUGGCGAAGGCGGGUCUCUGGGCUGUUACUGACACUGAGGAGCGAAAGCAUGGGGAGCGAACAGG
rnacentral:rRNA from 1 species